GCCCAGGUGGUGAAAUCGGUAGACACAAGGGAUUUAAAAUCCCUCGGCCUUUAGGCUGUGUGGGUUCAAGUCCCGCCCUGGGCACCA
rnacentral:tRNA from 2 species